AUGUAUAAGCUAAUACAACGGUGAAACUGCGAACGGCUCAUUAUAUCAGUUGAAAUGUCUGGUGCUUUAUACGUAGUCGGCUAAUACGGGCAACUCUCUUACUAUUCGUGCUUUGUUACAUCAAUAGUGGGCUUGCCCGGGUUGAGUUACGUUGUAAAUAUGACUGCUUGGCAGGCACCAUCAGCUUCUGACGCAUCAUCAUGUAGGAGGAGUAAAGUUCCUCCUAUGAGAUCACGCGAACGGGGAAUUAGGGUUCGACUCCGGAGAAUGAGCAUGAGAGACGGCUCAUAGUUCCAAGGAAGGCAGCAGGCGCGGAAAUUGCCCAAUGUACAGUCGUACGAGGCAGUGACGAGGAAUCUCGAACUGACUUCGGUCAGUAUUAAGCUGAGCCAGGCUUAUAUAACCUGGCUAACGCAAUUAGUGGGAGAGCAUGGUGCCAGCAGCCGCGGUAAUUCCAUCACUGAUAGCUUUCUCUUACGUUGCUGCAGUUAAAAAGCUCGUAGCUCUUAUUAGCGCAAGCGAGUCACUUUGAGAAAGUCGGAGUGUUCAUAACAGGGUAGCUGCUGCACAGUACAGCAAAGCAUGACAUCACUGCCCAGCGAUGGACGGUAUGUAGUAUAUGGUAGCACGGGAUUGAUAGUAUUGGAUGGGGACAGGUGAAAUAGGAUGAUCCAUCCAGGACUCUCUGCAGCGAAGGCUGUCGGUAAGUGCUAUUCAGUUGGUCAAGAGCGAAAGUGCGAGGAUAGACGAUGAUUAGAAACCGUUUUAUUUCGUGCCUUAAACGAUACCAUCUCAGAAGCGGUCGACUACGAUCGCAUCUCCAGGGAAACCGUAAGGCUUCGGGUUCUGGGGGGAGUAUGAUUGCAAGAUUGAAACUUGAAGGUAUUGACGGAAAGAUACCACAAGACGUGGAGUCUGCGGCUCAAUUUGACUCAACACGCAAAUCUUACCAGACCCAGAUGCUUUACGGAACAACAGAUUGAGAGUUCUUUUGUGAUUAGGCAGUUGGUGGUGCAUGGCCGCUCCUAGUUCGUGGUGUAAACUGUCUGCCUUAUUGCGUUAACGAGCGAGACAACCGCCUCAAUCCUUGAGGAAGCGCCAGCGUUGAGCUGGACGAACGUGGUUGCUCUAGCAGGUCUGUGAUGCCCUUAGACACUCUGGGCCGCACGCGUACUACAAUGUUGGCUGCACAUCGUCGCUUUGCCUGAAGGCAUGGCUAUUCGUGCGGACCGCCAACGUGGUAGGGAUUGAAGCUUGGAAUUAUUCUUCAUGAACGAGGAAUGUCUUGUAAGUAUGUGUUAUAAUCACAUGCUGACUGCGUCCCUGUCUUUUGUACACACCGCCCGUCGCUCCUACCGACUUGGAUGCUUUGGUGAGUUGCUCGGAGUUCGGCUUGCAAAAGCUGGAUGAAGUUCUGCGAACCUAAAUGUCUGGAGGAAG
rnacentral:rRNA from 1 species